GCAGUGAGCAGGAUUGGGCAGGCAUUCUCUCUCCCGUGAAAAUAUCUCCAUUCUCUCCCUCAGCUCGCUCCCCUUCUCCGUGUCCCCGCCGCCUCCGCUCCCCCUCCCUCUCGGCCGCCUCGUCUCCUCCGCCUCCACCACCUCCUCCUCCCGCAUCUCCUCAUCCCAUCUUGCUGCCGCCGGCUCCCCUCCUCUCCCCCUGAUUUCCCCCUUCAGCUCGUCCGUCUCAUCUCCCUUGCUGUUGCGCUGCCUCUUCCUCUGCAUCCGUGCUCAACAGGAGGAGCCGGGGUCGCAGCUGCACCACACGACAGUGGGCAAGGGCAAGCUCUAGCGCGAGCAUGCGGAGAGCUAUCCACUGGAUCCGGCCGGCCCAGAUCCACACGGCUCCGUCAACGACACGCCCGGGGACCCUGCCGACGUGGGUGUGCCGGCAUCUUCUCCAUGAGGGGGGCGAAUUAGGACGGAUCCACGCUGUCGACGCCUCUUCUUUGCUCCCAUGGACGAGCCCUCGCCCAGCGACCACCUCCACUCAGCUGUUGGGGAGGCUAAAAUGGCAAGGGCGGCAGGAGAAAUCCCUCCUCCUUGUGUUGCUGCAUCACUGCAUCCCCCGAUAUUCCAGGGUAGCUCGCCUGCCUGCUUUGAGAAGAAGAGAUGGAAGGUGGAGGUGGGAACAUGACGCUAGGAGGAUAAGGCGUGGGCGUCACAAGAAGUGGGUUGGAGCAGGAAGUAGAGCAUGCAAUGCCCCUCUCUACAUUGGCAUCUACACAGCCAAAUCAAGGACUUAAAUUCCUGGUAAGACCCUCUUUCAUUUGUUUUCUUUUUCUUUCAUGUCUGCAUAUCAGCCAAAUCAAGGACUUAAAUUCCUGGAGUAGCUCGCCUGCCUGCUUUGAGAAGAACAGAUGGAAGGUGGAGGUGGGAACAUGACGCUAGGAGGAUAAGGCGUGGGCGUCACAAGAAGUGGGUUGGAGCAGGAAGUAGAGCAGGCAAUGCCCCUCUCUACAUUGACAUCUACACAGCCAAAUCAAGGACUUAAAUUCCUGGAACGGCUCCUCCUAUCCCCUGCUCCUCUCGCAUUGGCGCAAGUCCGCCUCCUCCUCCACGCGUGCAGCAGCGACCCGGGAGGAGCUCAAGCCGCAGCGGUGGUCCAUGGCGCCUUCGUUGUCAUCCCCGGCUAGAGAAGCAUGGACCGCAGAGACGGACGGAUCUGUCCGGCCCUCGCGCCGUCAUUAGUCAACUCUCAAGGAUAAUGAGUUUCGACGAGUUGGAGACCCCCCAACAGCAAAUUCAGUCCGACGUCUUUGAUGAAAAUAGUGGUUUGAGCCAUAGUUCCAAGAAUGGAGCUGGACAGUCUUUUUGAGGAAAAAAAUUGAUGUCGCAAAGGCCAGGAACAAAAUCAAUACAUUAGUAUAUGACUUCAGAGAGAUGCUGAUACUAUGAGGUGAAAUGCUCAUUUAGUUAAGAGAAACGUUCACAAGGAUGACUGACCGUGUGCGACACUGACCUCGACGGCGUGCCACAUCAUUUUUGCCCGACCUCAAUGUUCACCUCGUCACCCACAGCCAGAUGGUCGAAGACAUCCCGAUGAAGCAGCACUUGUUUGUCCCUUCUUUCAUUGGUGGCGGGAGAAAGAGGAUCCACCCACUCCCUUAUGCUGAUUUGAGCCUUCCUUGUGAGUUGGCUCCAUUUUUGUCCUUUUAUAUGUGGGUGUACAUACCCGAGGUGAGGAAAUAAGUUCAGAUUACACUAAGGUGGAUCUCUCGAUUAAUAUGCAACUUUUUUAUGAAUAAAAGGUCUGAUAUUCUAGUAAGCUUAUGUGUGAUUUAGUAUAGAAUUAUGCUUUCAAGGUUGUACUAAUAGAUGACCUUCGCCAUUCUCUAAUUUUCCCUAGCAUGGAUUGCCUACUCUACAAGAUAAAGUGCCGGUUUAUGAGGAUAUUUUCCAAAAAGAGUUGUUAGGGUAUGAUAUGUACUCGAUUGAUCUAUGAGAUGACUUGCUUGGUGGCGAAGGUUUUUUACAUGUGCUCAGGUAACCAUCUACUGACUAUAUCUUCUAAUUUUUGCUUUUUGAGUCCUAUGAAAUGGUGUAAGUGAAUUCAUUAUAAGUGGAAAUUGUGGUUGGAUCAUGUUAAGAACUUAUGCCUUCUGUAACUGAUUUUGGCGAAGAAGAACAACUGCAUUUUUUUCUCUAGCUUGUGAAUGUUGAACACUUUGGUCCUCCUGUUGGUGCUUCUUUCUCAUGUGUGUACGUGUUAUAUUUAUGAGGUUGCUAUGGGUUUGAAGUGGUUAUGAUCUAUACUUGAUGAUCCAUGAACUGGACUAGGCUUUCUGAAUUCUGAUAGAAUGAGAAGCCUGCAGUAAAUAUCCAAAUGUUCCUCUACCAUCACAGCUUGAGUUAAUAUAAUAGUUAAUAUAUAAGGAUUUGAAUUUUGUUUACAAUUUUUUAACCCUGACCAAUAUGUGGUAAAGAUAAUAAAACCAGCACUUUUAGUUGAGUGAAAUCUAAGACCACAAUUACAUCGACGUGUUGCAUGUAUGAUGUAUCUCAGUUCAUGUUCUUCAACAUUUAAGUGUUUUGGAUGAUCAUGCCUUGUUUCUAUAGAUUGCCAUUUUGUCCAACGAGAAUAGUGAAACAGCAAAUUUAGUUAACCAUCUCAUAUUUGCAUUUGCUUUGUGAUGUUUCCAUUUUACCUACAAUAUUUGAAAUAAGAUCUUUUAUUGCUCACUGGGAACAAGCAAUAAAAGAGCUGUACUAGAAUACAAAGGUUCUUGUGUCUCGCGUGUGGCAGUACCGAGGAGGGACCGACGAUGGUCAGCUUGUGCAUACUGGCAUUGUGGUGCUUGACCAAGAGGGCACCCACAUGUAUGGCCAGAUUCCUGCUGACAGCUCAGGCACGGCGGUGCCCAUUCUUGCCUCUUUCCCUACGGGAUCAGCUACACUUGUCGUGCUGCCUCUUGAUGAGAUGAACACUCCUAUAUCUUCAUUCAAAGGAAAAGGGCAGGCUAUUAUGCUUAAAACACCCAGGUCGGUCAAGAAACUGAGCUUAUAGCUACUGAAGGUCCAAAGAACAACCUUCCUGACCACACUAAAGUCAAGAGUAAUGAAGGACAUUCAGGACAAACACUGCUGUCAAGCCAGCUGGCGCUCCAAAGAAAGCGAAGCAGUAGUUCUUCCAUGGACUAGGCUAGAUAUGUACAUACGGUGUAACCGGCGCUUCUUGAGUUCCAUUUUUCCUACAGGUGCGCCAGAUGAUAUGUCGCAAUAUGAUGAUAACUUUGGUUCCUCUUCUUUCUCAGGGUGUCUUCUAUGUUCUGCUUGCUGAAGAGAGCUUCUCAGCUCUGCUGCGUCACAGCAACGGUCUGGCCAUCGGGUCUGAAGAUCGUCAACUCUACACAAUUUUGGGCGUGCACCAGGUUUAUUUUGUGCAACUUUGUAAGACAAGGCUUUGACACUCGCAUAACUAUGUCGAGCCACUGUCAUGAAAAUUCCUCUAUUUAGGUCAUCGAGCAAAUCAAGUACUAUGCAUUGUAAAUAUCGCCGUCAGCCCUUUCUGCCUUAUCUCCCUCCUUAUGACAAUUUCUACCUUCUGUAAAUGCCGUUGGGCCAUGCUGCGUAAUCUAAGUCUUUUCAUUCUUGUUA